UGGGGCUGGGGUUUCGAGAGCCCAGAUGUGCCCAGAGAGUCAGCACCACCCCCACAGAACAGAAACCGUGUCCAGGACUCAGACCCCGUAACUAGUGACUCCAGGGUGUGGGGCCCUAAGCUUCAGUGGUAGCUCAAAGCACGGCCUCUUGGGGUUGGACCUGACUCCAGAGGGAGGCAACUGCCCUUCUCAGCUGUGUGAUUUUGCACAAAAGCUCUUCCCUCUCUCAGCCUCAAUCUCCUAAUCUGCAAAAUGGAAAGAAUGAGGCCCCCUGACCACUCUCUCGGGUGAGCUACCAGAUGCCGGUCACGUGCCAGGACUGAGUGUUCCGGGGAUAGGAAAACUGAAUCAGAGAGAAUAGAUCAAGUCCCCUAAGGCGACACAGAACAAAAGCAGCACAGCAGGACUCGGACCCUGGCAGUCUGGCUUCAAAGCGCUCAUUUUUCACCAUGCCAGCUACUUCUCUCUCCCUAACCGGUGAAAGGAUGCUCCAGUGGUGUUGGGGCCUAGCCCUCUAGCUUCUCUGCUGGGAUGAAACAGAAGCUCUUGAGGGCAGGGACCACAUCUUCAGCACUAAUUCCUCAGUGCCGGGCACAUCCUAGGCUUGCAAGAAUGAUCGUUGAGUGAAUGCAUACAUCAUCCCCCAGCUGUGUGGAUUUGCACGGAGGCCCUAAGAAAGGCCCCCCGGGGGGGGGGUGGCCAGCACACUGAUGAAGUCUGAAGCCCAUUCUCAAAUGAUUCCAGUUCCCAGAAAGAGCCAGAACCAGGCAGCAGAGGCCUCUCCAGGGGGGAUACUGGUGCCCCACUCCCCACUCCCCUGCAAAAAUCAAGGACAGCAGGAAAUAUGUUCUGAGAAGCUGUGGGUCAGAAAUGAGACUGAAAUGAAGUGGAUCAAAGGCUCCCAGCUCCUGAGAAGAAAGGUGCGGGGCGGGUGAGGGGUACUGCCAAAUUUCAGCUCUCGGAGUCCGCUGGGAGGGGUCGCGCACCAUGCCAAAGGGUAUUUAAAACCAAAGCCCUUUGCUGGAAUUUGUAAAGCAGCCACCAGAGGCACGAUGACCUGCAGCAGAGGUGGGAUGAGGAGCACAGAGAGCUACUCUAAGUAGAAGAGCGGAUUUCAGGACAACUGAACAGAGACUUGCAGCCAUCCUAACAAGGUCACCCCACGCAGAUGGGGAACAGGACAGGCUAGCUCAGCUCUGCGCGGGACUGGGGGUGGGGAGGGCUGCAGGCUUGGUCGCGAGAGGAAAAGCUGACCGGACUGGAGAAAACACAGAGAACAUGCUGCAGCCAAGGGCGUGGGUGAGGAUGCGGUAGGAAUCCAAGUGGGUGAGUGUGUUGCUUAUUUCUUGUGGCUUUCCAGAACACCGAGGAAGAGACAGGAGAACGCCCAGCAGCCGGGGGCAGGGGAAUGCGGCUGCCACAGCCUUUAAUUUGAAACUCCGAGAGGAGUUCCACACCAAGGCUGACUCCUGCGGCCUUUGCCUUGAGAUUUUUGUUGUUGUUGUUGUGAUCUGCAUUACAACCAUCUAUUUGCAUCUCAACUGUCAUGCAGAGCAAAUGGGUUGUUGGUGGUUUCAGCCCAUCCUAUCCCUUCCUUCUGGGGCUUCUGUGAGUUUCCUGUAGCUGGGCAAAGGAGAGAAAUUACUCAGUGGGACUUGACAAUGAGGAUGGAGUCCUUGGGAGACAGAAAGGGCUUCUUUCAAGUACCAUUGUUGUCUCGCAUUUUCCUGCAGAGGCGAGAUUCAGCAAGAAACUGGGCAGAAUCUUCCGUCUGGAGGGGAUGCCAGCAUUGCCUAGUC